rnacentral:rRNA from 1 species
GUGGGGAAUAUUGGACAAUGGGCGAAAGCCUGAUCCAGCCAUGCCGCGUGUGUGAAGAAGGUCUUCGGAUUGUAAAGCACUUUAAGUUGGGAGGAAGGGCAGUAAGUUAAUACCUUGCUGUUUUGACGUUACCGACAGAAUAAGCACCGGCUAACUUCGUGCCAGCAGCCGCGGUAAUACGACGGGUGCAAGCGUUAAUCGGAAUUACUGGGCGUAAAGCGCGCGUAGGUGGUUUUGUAAGUUGGAGGUGAAAUCCCCGGGCUCAACCUGGGAACUGCCUCCAAAACUGCAUGACUAGAGUACGGUAGAGGGUAGUGGAAUUUCCUGUGUAGCGGUGAAAUGCGUAGAUAUAGGAAGGAACACCAGUGGCGAAGGCGACUACCUGGACUGAUACUGACACUGAGGUGCGAAAGCGUGGGGAGCAAACAGGAUUAGAAACCCGGGUAGUCC